GCUCUUUUUUCUCCGUCCGUCCAUGACUAUAUUCGGUGCGCCGGCCCAGCCGGCUAUGGUGAUAAACGACUACCGUAAUAAGCCUAUCGGACCCGGGGGCAGUACCCGGCGCCUCCACCCCAGCCCUGCCGCACCGGCGGGCUGCGGCGGGGGCGAAACAGGAUCGACGAGGGUGUAAAGGGUGGGCUUUUGCCCGGCAUGGUUCCGCCGUUAUCGGGCCGAAAUUAUAGUUGCCAACGACAACUAUGCUCCGGUUGCGGUUGCCGCGUAAGCGGUAACUAGACCGAAAAGAAGUCCUUCCGGGUAGCACCGUAAGGCGGGGUUCGGAGGCACCUGGCAACAGAAGCCUCCACU
rnacentral:tmRNA from 1 species